GACGAACGCUGGCGGCGUGCCUAACACAUGCAAGUCGAACGGAGCCAGCCCCUUCGGGGACUGACUUAGUGGCGAACGGGUGAGUAACGCGUGAGAAACCUGCCUUUCAGUGGGGGACAACAGUUGGAAACGACUGCUAAUACCGGAUAGGACGAAAGUUUAAAGGUGCUUCUGGCACCGCUGAUGGAUGAGCCUGCGGCGCAUUAGCUAGUUGGUAGGGUAAAGGCCUACCAAGGCGACGAUAGCUAUCCGGCCUGAGAGGGUGAACGGACACAUUGGGACUGAGAUACGGCCCAGACUCCUACGGGAGGCAGCAGUGGGGAAUAUUGGGCAAUGGGCGAAAGCCUGACCCAGCGACGCCGCGUGCGGGAAGAAGUAUUUCGGUAUGUAAAGCUCUAUCAGCAGGGAAGAAAAUGACGGUACCUGACUAAGAAGCUCCGGCUAAAUACGUGCCAGCAGCCGCGGU
rnacentral:rRNA from 1 species